rnacentral:rRNA from 1 species
CUACGGGUGGCUGCAGUGGGGAAUAUUGCACAAUGGGCGCAAGCCUGAUGCAGCCAUGCCGCGUGUGUGGAGAAGGCCUUCGGGUUGUAAAGCACUUUCAGCGGGGAGGAAGGCGGUGAGGUUAAUAACCUCAUCGAUUGACGUUACCCGCAGAAGAAGCACCGGCUAACUCCGUGCCAGCAGCCGCGGUAAUACGGAGGGUGCAAGCGUUAAUCGGAAUUACUGGGCGUAAAGCGCACGCAGGCGGUCUGUCAAGUCGGAUGUGAAAUCCCCGGGCUCAACCUGGGAACUGCAUUCGAAACUGGCAGGCUAGAGUCUUGUAGAGGGGGGUAGAAUUCCAGGUGUAGCGGUGAAAUGCGUAGAGAUCUGGAGGAAUACCGGUGGCGAAGGCGGCCCCCUGGACAAAGACUGACGCUCAGGUGCGAAAGCGUGGGGAGCAAACAGGAUUAGAUACCCCUGUAGUC